GGCUGGGAGUUUUAUGGGGGAGGAGCUCAGUGGACUCCUGAGAGGCCAGCUUUGCAUACAAGGAAUAGAGAGACAAUUGUCUUUCUUUUCCUCCCUCAUUCCAACGUUAAUUGGAUUUUCCCUCCCAUGGCUCAAACUUAGGCCACUGGAAGUAAAACAACAGCUCAUCUUAAUUGGAUUUUCCCUCCCAUGGCUCAAACUUAGGCCAUUGGAAGUAAAACAACAGCUCAUCUCUGCUAUGGGCAGCACCUGGCCUCCUGAAGCACUGGAUGCCACCUGUGUGAAAGCUGAGCUUGCACAGUGGGUGAUGCAGCUGGAAAAUCAGUCAUCUCGGGCUUUGGAUCUGUCCCCCUCAGUCACUAACGCUUCACUUCUCAAGUCAGGCCCUUGCCCUCUCCUACCUGGGCUGAGGAACGCUUGGCCUUUGCCUACCUCACAGUCAGGGUAUCAAGAGAAGCCCACAGUAUGCACAGAGUUCUCUGAGCAACUUAUGAAAAGUAUGAGGCUUCAAGGAUCUGGAAAGCUAUAUUGGAAAAUGCUAUUCUGAGUAUUAGAAAUUGAUAAAAUCACCUAAGGUCUUGGGGCUCCAGGUGAGACUGAGGACUGGACCACAGCUGGCUGUGGCCAUUAUUCCCUCAGGUUGUUGGUCACCAUGUUCACCUGUUUCUCCAUCCCAACUUCCAUUUGACAAGCUCUAAAUGGAGGCAUGGAUUUAUCUUCCAUUCUCUUCUCUCUCCAAUAUUCAUAGCUACAGACCAAAAGUACCACCCAAUGAUGAUGUGUUCCUAGUCUUCAGCUGCAAAGUCACCCAUGCAAAGGUCAAGAAGUGCUAGAACAUUCCUUUCUCUUCUCCCUCCUUUCAGGUCUCCAAUGUCCAUAUCUUUUCUAUGUCCUAUGUGGCAGAGAAGGAUUUGCUUGGAUAAGUUACAACCCUUUCCCUCAAUAUUGAAUCCAGAGUUGUGGGAAGGGAUCUCUCAGAAUAUUCAGACAGGAACUGUCAGUAUCCAGAGCAGGACUCCCACAGCACUGCUUAAUUCAAAAGGCGAGAGCAGUUGGUCUACACAACAAAUGUGUAGCUCUAGCACCUGAUAGAUAGAAGAUACCCUCAAGGUGCCUCCUGUAGACACAUGUGUAAACUCACACACUGUGCCCUUUCCCCAUGCAGCAGUCAAAGGAACCAGGCCCUGGGCCAGGACAGUUUCCAGUGCUGUGAAGAAACGAGGUGAGGAGUAUCCAAGGGGCUCAAGGAUAAUCUGCUGAUUUCUUUCUCGUCUUUCACACAGAGAAGCCACCAGGAGGAAAGCAGUAGGAGUUGGGUGGCUGCUGGGGGCAGCAUGUCCUCUUCCACACUACCUGCCUUUCAGAACUCUGCUCUUCCACUUGUCCGAAGUCAGGGCUGGCAAUCUUCAUAAUCAAAGGGGAGUUGGAAAAGAACAUCCACUGAGAGGCCUCCACGGCAGAUGUCAAUUAAAUUGCCCCCCAAAAUCUCAUGACAGUUUAUUCACAUCAGUAGUGUGGGAAGUUACAAUUUUUUUUUAAAAAAAGCUUCUUUCCUUGGCUUUCCAUUUCUUUGAAAAAAGGGUUUCUUUUGAAUUUUUAAAGCUCUGCCAUCCUGAACAUUCCUGUGGAAAGUUUUAAAAUCCAAAGCCUGAGGUUUUUGUUUAUUUUUCUAAUAAAUAAAAAUCACAGAGAUUAGCUAGUAUAAAUGUUAAGCUACAAAUUAUGUUUCAAACUGUGAAAAAAAAAAGUGUUUUAAAGAAUGAAUGAAAUAAAACCUGAAAAUAAAGCCCUCAUCCUUUGUGUGUGCGCCUGCUCCUGCCGAAAAAUCAGAGGCUGUAGGUGCUGUGUCCUGUCAAGCUGAGCAUAAACAAAACCCUUAAUCACAGCCAGGUCUGGCACAUAUUUUAAGUGACAAUGCAACUAAUUACACUGGUUCUAACAGUAAACAUUAUUUAGCAAUUCAGAAAAACUACACCUUAUCAGCACCACCAUUCUCCCCCAAUUGUAGCUAGAAGACCAAUUUGAAAUUUAUGCUUUCAGAAUAUUAACUGCAAUUCAAUAGCGUUCUUCCUGCUUCUGGAAUGGGCCAAAAGUAGGAAGUGACGAUUGUACCACUUGUUCAGCAGUGGAUAAGACACCCUACAGAACACACAUGCUUUGUCAACAGUAUGUCCUUUCAGAGGUUAUGAUCUUAGAACCCCAAAAGGUAUAUAUUGUACUUUCUCAUUUUAUGGUGUUGCGGGUAUGCAAGGAGAGCUCAUGUCCUCUGAAGGUCACGUAAGAUGGUAAAUACCUGAGAGCACUUUGUGCUUACUCUGAUUUGAAGCAAUACCUCACAAAGGUGAGAAGCAAAAGCAGUGAGAGAGAAGGUUAUCAGGAUAUCUUGUCCCAGGCAAGAAUGCAGAGAGAAACCCUACAAUUCCGAAGAGUUGGGUAAGUGUAACAAGGGAUUGAGAAGAGAUAGCAGAAUAGAAUGCUGGAGAGGUAACCAGGACAAAGGAGCCAAAUAUGAUACGGUGAAUCCCCAGAGACGUGAUUCACAUGCUGCCUCCUUGACAACGCUGGAGAGGAUACUGGGGGAAGUGGAAACUGUCUCAUGGGCAUCAGCUUUUACAUAUCCAGCAUAGGUUUCUUCUGCCCAGUUUCCAGGGAAGCAUCAGACACAUCCAUAGCUUACUAAAAGCAGAGCAAAUCCUUGUGAUCACUGUUAGCACAUCUAUCCCCAAUUCAAUUCCCAUCAAUGGUGUGAGCUGCCAGCGUUUGCAUCUCUCUGCACCCCUGAAUCCACCCAACCUGGCUGUCAGCUUUUCCAAUUCUUGAGGAGAACAUUUCCACUGCCCUUUAAAAAUCAAGUGGGCAUUUUUGGUUUGGCUUACAGAGGUGAUAAAUCCUUCUUUAAAAUUCAAAUGCCACUAAAGUCUAUGUAUAUUAAAGUAUCUGGCUAGAGUUAAUUAACAAAAACUAAAUAAAGUAAAAGAUCUCUCUCCUUCCCUCAAUCCAGAGGAAACAACAGUCAAAUUUGGUGUGUAUCCUUCUAGACUUGCUUAUGCAUAUAUGAACAUAUCUGUGUAUAUAUAUGCCAAAUAUACAUAUUUAACCUAUUUUCUUUAUAGUCAAAUGGGAUUCUAUCAUAUAGAUUACCCUACAACUCACCAGUCUUUUCUUAAUGUGUCUUGGGCAUUAUUUCAUGUCUACCUAUUCCAAAACUUCAUUCUUCUUGCCUAUACAAAUGCAGUCCAUAGUAUGAAUACACUAUUGUUUUUUUUUUUACAGAGUUUUGCUCUUGUCACUCAGGCUGGAUUGCAGUGGUGCUGUCU